GGUUAAGUUAGAAAGGGCGCACGGUGGAUGCCUUGGCACUAGGAGCCGAAGAAGGACGGGACUAACACCGAUAUGCUUUGGGGAGCUGUACGUAAGCGUUGAUCCAGAGAUUUCCGAAUGGGGGAACCCACUAUCUUUAGUCGGAUAGUAUCCUUACGUGAAUACAUAGCGUGAGGAAGGCAGACCCAGGGAACUGAAACAUCUAAGUACCUGGAGGAAGAGAAAGAAAAAUCGAUUUCCUGAGUAGCGGCGAGCGAAACGGAAAGAGCCCAAACCAAGAAGCUUGCUUCUUGGGGUUGUAGGACACUCUAUACGGAGUUACAAAAGAAAGUUAUAA
rnacentral:rRNA from 1 species